UAAGGAACAAGCUGCAUUUGGAAACAUUUUGCAAUUUUCAGACCUGAGAUCAGUGACCCAAAAGAUGAGCUAAAAUAUUCUGAAAAACAAUAUCUUACAAUAGACGUCACUAAGCCAGAUAUGAUCCUUCCCCAGAAACAAAAGGAAAAACCGACAAUGAAAAGAUCUUACCACUUCCUUUGGAAUUCAGAAUCAUCUGAAACGCUGCUGGAAAUCGUGCGUUAUUCUUUUCCAGAAGUUUCUGGCAUCCAACAUGGAGUGGCUGAGGCACUUGACUCACUCCAGAUACUGCAGUUGAGAUCCUGGUACAACUGACAGAAAGCCAGCAAAAAGGUAAAAAAAAAUGC